AAAAGCGUUCAGUGGAGAAGGAAGAGAAACAUCAAAGAAGGAGUUUUGAGGAAUUGGUUUCCAAGCAGACAGCGGAUCUUUGUGGAUCUCAAGUCACAGUGUGUGUAAAGAGUGUCUUCAGCAGUUCUGGAGUGCCUCUAAAACUCAGGACUGUCCUGUCUGCAGAAGAAGAUCCUCAAGAGAUCAUCUAAAAAACUUGUGGCAUCUAAAGGCAGGACUUCAUUACAGCAGUGAAGACUUUAUGGCAGAAACUUAAACACAAUGAAAAACAAAUCAAGUGUCAAGCGAAAGGUGAAGAAGCUACAAUCACUGAACUGAGGGAGGAAGAGGAGCAGACGACGAUAAAGGAGAAGCUGAAGCUCAGCAGGCACGUCUCAACUGUUUCAGACACAAUCAAAGACACGGAUGACAUGAUAAAAGACAAUGACAUCUGCUUUCUGAAGGAGUUUCCAAUCUCAAAAGAAACUGGAGUGAUCUGCUGGUGUUUCUGGACUCACUGCUUCUGUCAAUUCCACUUCAGUUCUGACCCUGAAUCUUCUUCCAGAGUCCAGAUCUCAUCACAGCCGGAUCCACAGACACCUUCAGGAGCUUUGAUUCAUGUUCCACGAUACUUGGGCAACCUGUCCUUCAGAGACCGGAGGGAGAUGGAGGACACUGUCCAGAACAGUGUCAUUUCUUCAUCUUCUCAAGAACAACAGAUUAAACAGUGCAAAAGAGAAAAGAAACUGAAGCACCAUUGAAACACUAAGCAUCAAAUUAAAUUUUGUUCUCAAGGAACUUCAUCAUGCAUUUCUAGUUUUUCAAAGACUUUGCAUUAUAAUGGCAUUACUAGAAUAACUAUUUAGAGUCUAUAGAGUUCAUCAGGUAUAAUUAAGGCGAUGAAGAUAAAGAUAAUCCAGUAACUAAGUAUAUUUAUGCAUUUCCAAUAAGACACAGAGUUAACACAGAUACAACAUUUAUUUCUGGAUGAGGGAAAACUUAAGUACUGCAGAUAACGAGGGAAAGACAGGUGCUGGGGUUUAACUGAUGAUAGACUAAUGAACUAAUGAAAACAGGAACAAAACCAAAUAUGGGCAAACAGGAACUAAACAGAAACCGAAUGAAACGCAACCGAAGAGUUCAGGGGUGUGACGGCAUUCCCAAAAUUAUUACUAAUGUACAAUCUUAAAUUAACCGAUUCAAAAAAUGAUUACGAUAGAAUCUCGGAAAUUGUGUUCUUAAAAAUCAUACUUAUAUUUUCAAGUAAACUGUUAUGAUUUACCAAUCAGCAAUUAAUUCAAGUAUUCAUAACAAGCCAACCUGUGUGUCUGGAACAAUCUCCCCAUAUUGUAUUUAGGCCCCCCGUGUUGCCAGUUGUCAGAAAACGCAGUGUAUUUCAUUUAUCGUCACGUGAUAAACAACACUUUCAAUAAAAUCUUACCAACGAAUCGAAGACAGAUUUGUAUGUGAAACACCGCAGAUAUGCAAACACACAAACAGUGUGACCGAGUUGAAUAAACGCGAUCGGAUGAUGCAGAAAACACUAAUUUUUGACUCCUUUAGCGACUGAUUCUUUUUCGAACUCUUCCAAAAUAACUGCCCGUCUCGAUGGACACAAAUGUUUGAGUUACGCAUUCAGCGUUUGUGUCCGAUGCCAUUCAGCACUGAUAAUAAAAAAAUACCAAUAAGGAAAAUGUCUGAUGUGUUUGAUAAUCUGUGUUGGGAUGACUUUUGGUCAUUUUACGAACAUCUGUUGAUGUGUCUCUUCAGCUCCUGUGACUCUGGAUCCAAACACAGCUCAUCCACGUCUCGUCGUGUCUGAAGAUCUGACCAGCGUGAGAUUCAUGGAGCACGAACAACCUCUUCCUGAUAAUCCUGAGAGAUUUGAUAAAUAUUACUGUGUCCUGGGCUCACAGGGUUUUAACUCAGGAACACACUUCUGGGACGUGGAGGUCAAAGAGAAUCGAUGGUGGAUACUUGGAGUAACUACAGCAUCGAACGAAAGGAAAGGGAUCUCGACUGUGUGAGAGUGUGUCUGGACUAUGAAGGAGGAACGCUGUCUUUCUCUGAUCCUGCUACUAACACACAUCUACACACAAUCACAACCACCUUCACCGACACCAUCUUGCCGUUCUUCUGUUGUUCAUCCUCUCUGAGGAUCUUACCACCAAUUGGUAAAUAACUCGUCACGUUUCGAUAUUAGAUUUAAAUCAAGUCAAAAGUGCUGUUGAGCUGAAUGUCUGUGAUUGGGCCGCAGAUGAUCACAUGACUGAUAUCCAGCACGACAGACUAUUCCUCAUUCAGUGCACUUAUACAUGAACCAGCUAAACAAUUUGAUAAUCACUGCACUCAACUCACACAGCCUUUGAGAGUAAAUCGAUUGCGGACUCUUUUUUGCGGUGCAUUGUGGGAUUGAAUGCACUCGAGUGUGUCCACCAUUGCUUUGGACAACACUUAAAAUGGCUGUACACUAUUUGAGGGUAUAGGGGGCGAUUUGGGAUACAGCUGAAGCGUGUUUGACUUGAAGCAGUGUAUGACUUCGGUGUGUGACAUCAAAGUACCUCGAGAGCGAUAAUAAAAAGCAUAAGGAACCAUCAGCUCUUGAUACUUUGAUGUCAAACAACGAUCGGUCGCCGCGGCGCCUCUUCAAGACGAACGCAUUGCUGUUAUAUUAAUUACAUUUAAAAAAUGCUCAUUUAUUAAUUUGGCAAUUGACGGAUAUCAAUCAAAGUGUAAAAUAAUCAGUAUGAAUUUAAAAGAUUGUCCACUGAGGUGAAGUUAAAAUCAAGUCACAAUUCAUAAAGGCAUGGAAAACCUUGAGAAAUCAGGACCAUUUUAAAAUCGUGACAAUCAAAAGACACUGAAAAUAUAUAUAUGCUGUAGAUAAAUAGAUGUUACGUACGGAGACAUAGUUGAUUUCUCUCUCUCUCGCUAUUAGGAGACUGCGCCCUUAGUGGACGUCCGAAGACGCAUCUAUAGAGGGUAUGAAUUGACGUCAUUGUCCCACGUGAACAAUCAGGUACACGCCCCCCGAGUGGCGAAACGUUCAGAAAAAAUGGCAGGCCGUAAUAACAGCAGCUGCCAGUAUAACUGCAAAUGAUCAGCUUAAAUUAAAUUUAGUUGGACUUGACAGUAGCCCUAACAACCUGCCAAACGAGCAGUGGACGCCGUAUAUAUUUCCCGCCAUAUAUACGUACGCCGCUGAGGAAGUACACCAAGGAAAGUUCAAAAGCCUACAAAAGCCUUGUUGACUGCACAACUUUUUAACAUUUUAGACGUGUUUUUGUAGAUUUCAUGCUGCACACUAAUGCCGUCACUCAGUCUUUUUGCCUCUUAGUGGGCGGGGCCACACUCACUCCAGCUGAUGAUGUCAUGUACAUACCCUCUAUUGAUUCGUUCCUGGAAAUCCGGCAUCUUUUGAAAUGGCGGGACACAGGAGUUCGGAGGAGAGAGAGGGAAGAGUUGUAGUUGUCUUUGUGGUGUGCUGUGAACUUUGUGCAGUAACACAGUGUUGAAACCCUUUUUCGUGUUAAAUUAGUUAUGUACAGAACUUAAUAUUUUGUUGUUGAAAUCAAUUAGCCAGUUUUUUCACCUGUUAGGUGAGCUGGCAAAUGCACCGUUAUUUAUUUAUCUAUUUUUUCUAUGUAUUGUGAAUAGUCUGUCUCCUGGUAUUAAGGCUGUGUGCCGGUUUUCUUUAUUAUAAAUAUCAUUUUCAACCGUUCACAGCAAAAAAAAAAAUGGAACUAAGUCUUUUAAAUCUCAAAUACUAAAAAAUGCUAACUGUACUAUAAAAAACAACCUUUGUCAGACCAACAAACUAACUUAGUUGUCUGAACAAAGAAGUGUCUGAAUGUAGAAGGCUUUGUGAGUUCCCAGCAUGCAUAGCAGCAUGACUGAAUUAUGCAGUUAUACUGUUGGAUUAUUGUUUUGCUGUUUCCUGACCUUUUUGUUUUUGUAUCAUCACUGUUAGCUAUUUGUUGUACUUUGAUGGUAUUGUAUAUGUCAGCAUAUGUUGAUGUGCAUACAUAUAUAUGUAUUUUUAUGUAUAUAUGUGUGUGUAUAUAUAUCUCCUACAUUCUCUUUUAAAAUAAAUCCUAUUAUUC